rnacentral:rRNA from 1 species
AUUGAACGCUGGCGGCAGGCCUAACACAUGCAAGUCGAACGGUAGCACAGAGAGCUUGCUCUCGGGUGACGAGUGGCGGACGGGUGAGUAAUGUCUGGGAAACUGCCCGAUGGAGGGGGAUAACUACUGGAAACGGUAGCUAAUACCGCAUAACGUCUUCGGACCAAAGUGGGGGACCUUCGGGCCUCACACCAUCGGAUGUGCCCAGAUGGGAUUAGCUGGUAGGUGGGGUAACGGCUCACCUAGGCGACGAUCCCUAGCUGGUCUGAGAGGAUGACCAGCCACACUGGAACUGAGACACGGUCCAGACUCCUACGGGAGGCAGCAGUGGGGAAUAUUGCACAAUGGGCGCAAGCCUGAUGCAGCCAUGCCGCGUGUAUGAAGAAGGCCUUCGGGUUGUAAAGUACUUUCAGUGGGGAGGAAGGCGAUGAAGUUAAUAACUUCGUCGAUUGACGUUACCCGCAGAAGAAGCACCGGCUAACUCCGUG